UUUGAUGAAAUGUCUAAUUGGAUAACCGUAGUAAUUCUAGAGCUAAUACAUGUUUAGUAGACUGCAUUUAUUAGAAUGAAAACCACUAUUCGUGAGUAAUAAUAACUAAUCAUAUCGUAUGCUUAAGUAACGAUGUGUCUUUCAAGUUUCUGCCCUAUCAGCUUUCGAUGGUAGUGUAUUGGACUACCAUGGCAGUAACGGGUAACGAACUAUAGUAUUCUAUAGCCUUAGAGGGACACUAUACAUAAAGUAUAGGGAAGCUGGAGGCAAUAACAGGUCUGUGAUGCCCUUAGAUGUCCUGGGCUGCACGCGCGCGACACUGAUUCAUUCAACAAGUGGCUGAAUCGAUAGAUUUGGCAAAUCUUUUGAAAAUGAAUCGUGAUGGGGAUUGAUGUCUGUAAUAAACGUCAUGAACGAGGAAUUCCUAGUAAAUGCAAGUCAUCAACUUGCGUUGAUUACGUCCCUGCCCUUUGUACACACCGCCCGUCGCACCUACCGAUUGAAUGGUCCGAUGAAC
rnacentral:rRNA from 1 species